rnacentral:rRNA from 1 species
CCUACGGGAGGCUGCAGUGAGGAAUAUUGGUCAAUGGACGAGAGUCUGAACCAGCCAAGUAGCGUGAAGGAUGACUGCCCUAUGGGUUGUAAACUUCUUUUAUAAAGGAAUAAAACGAGGCACGUGUGCCUUUUUGCAUGUACUUUAUGAAUAAGGAUCGGCUAACUCCGUGCCAGCAGCCGCGGUAAUACGGAGGAUCCGAGCGUUAUCCGGAUUUAGUGGGUUUAAAGGGAGCGUAGAUGGGUUGUUAAGUCAGUUGUGAAAGUUUGCGGCUCAACCGUAAAAUUGCAAUUGAUACUGGCAGUCUUGAGUACAGUUGAGGUAGGCGGAAUUCGUGGUGUAGCGGUGAAAUGCUUAGAUAUCACGAAGAACCCCGAUUGCGAAGGCAGCUUACUAGACUGUGACUGACAUUGAUGCUCGAAAGUGUGGGUAUCAAACAGGAUUAGAUACCCCUGUAGUC